AACGAACGCUGGCGGCAUGCUUAACACAUGCAAGUCGAACGAGACCUCCGGGUCUAGUGGCGCACGGGUGCGUAACGCGUGGGAACUUGCCCUUAGGUUCGGUAUCCUUCCCUGAAAGGGGUGUUAAUAACGGAUAAUGUAUUCGGACCAAAGAUCUAUCGCUUUUGGAUGGGCCCGCGUUGGUUUAGCGGGUUGGUAGGGUAUAAGCCUAUCAAGGCGACGAUGCAUAGCUGGUCUGUGAGGAGGACUAGCCACGCUUGGACUGAGACACGGCCCAGUCUCCGACGGAAGGCAGCAGUAUGGUAUAUUAGGCGAUGAACGAAGACCUAGUCCAGCAGUGCCGGGUGAGUGAUGAAGGCCUUAGUGUUGUAAAGCUCUUUUACCCGAAGUGAUAAUGACGGUACCGGGUGAAUAAGCACCGGCUAACUCCGUG
rnacentral:rRNA from 1 species